UGACCAUCUGAUCUGGAUACAGACUGGAUCUGUAUGCCUACAGUGACCUCGGAAUACGAAUGAAAUAGACUAAUAUUAGUGUAGAUGCCAUUCUUCUUACGACGUAGCGAGUGCAUUGGAUA